CAAAGCAGGAGAGAGAUUGCAACAUCCGUUCCAGCGAGCCGGAGAGGCGACCGAGCUUGCCGAGUCAGCGGGCUCUCCCCUCUCCUCCCCUCCGGCAGCGUUGGGUGCCGAGAGCUGAGUUGUUGGAUCUUGCUGCGAAGAAUAACAACCUCCGUUCGGAAGGGCUGGCUUCCACUGGAGAUGUCUUAUGAGCACGAUCCUAUGGCACGACUAGAAAGAGGAUGAUUCACAACAAGGCGGGACGCCCUCGGAGUAUUGGACGGGAGGAAUGAAAUCGUUCCCGGUUUUCUACCAGCCGUCUUUAAUUUCAAUGACCUUCCAGAAAGUACACUACAGAAAAGUUGCAUGUAAAAAUUGUCCAAGAACCAAUCUAAGCAAAUCAGAAGAGAAGCUGAAAAUGAAAAAUCUAAAUGAGUGUUCCUUAUCUCCUGAUUAGUUAUGCAACAAAAAAGCUUCAAUGUCUUGCCACAAACUUUGCUGGGAUGGACCAACACCUUGACGGUCUUGAGUUUUUGCUGAUGCAGACAAUCCACAAGAGGUUCCUUCACCUACUGAUUUCCAUGGCUACUACUUUGCAGAAAAAACAGUAAUAAUAAAUUUGGUCAAACUCUAACCUUCUUGUUAUUCUGUCAUCACAUAAUUUGAAUUUUAGUCUGACCCACAACAGCUCUUUUGCUUACUGACAAACACGAACCACUAAGAUAGCAGGUGGAAAAAUCAUGUCAAAUGCCAGAUGCAAUUCUUUUAUGUUGAGUUUUGUAAAUAGCAAGUUGCUGAGAAUAUUAUCUCUGUACUAUGAAAUUCACAGGUUUCCUACAGCACCAAUAUUAUAUAAAUCUAUAUUGAAACAAAUGGAUGGCAUCAUGCUGUGCUUUAGGACUGGAACAACUUUGAGUCUCAAUCUUGAAUUACAGACUGAAAAAUUAGGAAGUAGAUAACAGAAUUGAUAUUGAUAGAAAAUAAUCAAUAACUAUGCAAAAUUUACUUGAAUAGAAGUAACUGUCUCAAGAUCAGGAAAAAUGCACCCUUGAACAAACUGAAAAAUAAAGUUCUUAUACAGGAGAUCCUCAUUUAAUGGCAAUUCAAAGUUACAAUAGACCCCCAAAAGAUACUUCCAACCCAAUUUUGAAGUUACAACAGCCAUAAUCCACCCUGCAAUCACAUGAUUGCAUUUUCGUUGCUUGGCAUUCAGCUUGCCUUUAUAGCCAUUUGCAGUGUUCCAUGAUCAUGUGACUGCAAUUUUCAAUGUUUGUUGCAAGUUGCUGGCCUUUAUUUCUGACAAAGAAUGCUCAGUGGAUAAAACAGAUUUGCUUAAUGACUGCUGCAAAAAAGGUAGUAAAAUUGGGCAGUCUCAUGGUGACUCACUUAAUGACUGCAACAAAUUACAACCAUAAUUCUGGCUCAAUUCUGGUCAGAAAUUGAAGACUACAUGUAAGAGUUCCAAUGUAAAAAAUACAGAGGAACCUACUACAAUUUAAGCAAGAGCAAAGGCUAGUAGAAACAUGUUGCAUUAUUUUAUGUUCAUUAUAUUAAUAGUGUAAUAAUGAAAAAUAUUU